rnacentral:rRNA from 1 species
CGAACGCUGGCGGCGUGCUUAACACAUGCAAGUCGAACGAAGGCUUCGGCCUUAGUGGCGGACGGGUGAGUAACGCGUGGGAAUCUACCUUACGGCGGGGAAUAACAGUUGGAAACGACUGCUAAUACCGCAUACGCCCUUCGGAGGAAAGGCUUCGGCCACCGUUUGAGGAUCCCGCGUCCGAUUAGCUAGUUAGUAGGGUAACGGCCUACCAAGGCGACGAUCGGUAGCUGGUCUGAGAGGAUGAUCAGCCACACUGGGACUGAGACACGGCCCAGACUCC